rnacentral:rRNA from 1 species
GACGAACGCUGGCGGCGUGCCUAAUACAUGCAAGUUGAGCGCUGAAGGUUGGUACUUGUACCAACUGGAUGAGCAGCGAACGGGUGAGUAACGCGUGGGGAAUCUGCCUUUGAGCGGGGGACAACAUUUGGAAACGAAUGCUAAUACCGCAUAAAAACUUUAAACACAAGUUUUAAGUUUGAAAGAUGCAAUUGCAUCACUCAAAGAUGAUCCCGCGUUGUAUUAGCUAGUUGGUGAGGUAAAGGCUCACCAAGGCGAUGAUACAUAGCCGACCUGAGAGGGUGAUCGGCCACAUUGGGACUGAGACACGGCCCAAACUCCUACGGGAGGCAGCAGUAGGGAAUCUUCGGAAAUGGAAGAAAGUCUGACCGAGCAACGCCGCAUGAGUGAAGAAGGUUUUCGGAUCGUAAAACUCUGUUGGUAGAGAAGAACGUUGGUGAGAGUGGAAAGCUCAUCAAGUGACGGUAACUACCCAGAAAGGGACGGCUAACUACGUG